rnacentral:rRNA from 1 species
AUUGAACGCUGGCGGCAGGCCUAACACAUGCAAGUCGAGCGGACGAAGGGAGCUUGCUCCUGGAUUCAGCGGCGGACGGGCGAGUAAUGCCUAGGAAUCUGCCUGGUAGUGGGGGAUAACGUCCGGAAACGGGCGCUAAUACCGCAUACGUCCUGAGGGAGAAAGUGGGGGAUCUUCGGACCUCACGCUAUCAGAUGAGCCUAGGUCGGAUUAGCUAGUUGGUGGGGUAAAGGCCUACCAAGGCGACGAUCCGUAACUGGUCUGAGAGGAUGAUCAGUCACACUGGAACUGAGACACGGUCCAGACUCCUACGGGAGGCAGCAGUGGGGAAUAUUGGACAAUGGGCGAAAGCCUGAUCCAGCCAUGCCGCGUGUGUGAAGAAGGUCUUCGGAUUGUAAAGCACUUUAAGUUGGGAGGAAGAGCAGUAAGUUAAUACCUUGCUGUUUUGACGUUACCAACAGAAUAAGCACCGGCUAACUUCGUG